rnacentral:rRNA from 1 species
AGAGUUUGAUCCUGGCUCAGGAUAAACGCUGGCGGCGUGCCUAACACAUGCAAGUCGAACGCCCUGUUUUUUCGGAAGCGGGGAGUGGCGGACGGGUGAGGAACACAUGGGUAACCUACCUUUCAGUGAGGAAUACCGGCGAGAAAUCGCCGACAAUACCGCAUAAGCUCUGUGCUGGAGACAGCGGAGAGCAAAGUCUG